rnacentral:rRNA from 1 species
CCUACGGGUGGCAGCAGUGAGGAAUAUUGGUCAAUGGCCGGAAGGCUGAACCAGCCAAGCCGCGUGAAGGACGAAGGUGCCAAGCAUUGUAAACUUCUUUUGUCAAGGGACAAAAUCAGGCUCGAGAGCCUGACCGAGGGUACUUGAAGAAAAAGCAUCGGCUAACUCCGUGCCAGCAGCCGCGGUAAUACGGAGGAUGCGAGCGUUAUCCGGAUUUAUGGGGUUUAAAGGGUGCGUAGGCGGGCUGGUAAGUCAGCGGUAAAAGCCCGGGGCUCAACCCCGGCGAGCCGUUGAAACUGGCUGUCUUGAGAUGGCGAGAGGUAUGCGGAAUGCGCAUUGUUGCGGUGAAAUGCUUAGAUAUUGCGCAGAACUCCGAUUGUGAAGGCAGCAUACCGGCGGCGAUCUGACGCUGAGGCACGAAAGCGUGGGUAUCGAACAGGAUUAGAUACCCGGGUAGUC